AUAAGGUGUCUGUCUUUAUGAUACAAUGGCCGGUUCAAAAGGGAAAGUGGAAACAAAUUGGGGAUAAGAUUGUGAUUGUGCGCUGCCCCUUAUAUUUCGAAUCGCGCACCAAACCCGCGAACUGGUUCCUGAAUCAGUCACUUAGUACAGGCGGCUCGCGAGGCUUUGAACGUCAUCAUUUUUCAGCCCCUCCCCUCAAUGAAGCAAGCCUCGAUACGCGCUUCGCGGAAACGCCCCAUCAAAUACUUGACACACGCUUUGAAGCUUCUGCACAUCUCUAACAUCACUACUGUCCACUGACCCUGUUUUUGAUUGUUUCUUUUGUAAAUCGUCUUUUGAGUUUUUUGUUCUUUGUAAAUAUAUUGCACUGAGGCCGGCACCAAUAAAUAAUCACUUCAAUUUUCCGACUACGCCUAUGUGUUUUUCGAAACAUCAGUCAUCACCUCGUGUUGCCUGAAGAAGUCGGAUGUCUUCAGGGCCUGCUCGAUGUCUGUCAGUCUGCUGAGUAAAUCAUCCUCGGACUCCGCAAUAGAGGAGCCCGUGGAGGAGAUGGAAGAGUUGGACAGUUUCCUGCGCAGGGUACCCUCCACCGGAUCCUCCAAGUCCUCCUGCUGCAUCUCCCGUGAGGAACCGCCUCCCUCCGGGGUGAUGGUCACCUGCGGUACCUGGCGAGCAUCCAUCACAAGCGGCUCUCCUGUUGCUGAUGAAGCGCAGUGCAGAGAGGCUUUCUGCAGCAGAUCAUCGCAGAUCUGAGAGGACUUUCCGGCUGUUCUUCUCUCUGAACGUGACCCCUCGUUUAAAGGGGUUCCAGUUAUCCCCAAGUCUUUUGAGGACUUUCUCUUGUACUCUUUGGGCAUUGGAGAUCCGACGAGAGAGCGCACGAGAGGCGCAAAAACGGCUCAAAUCACCCUUCAAAUCUGGUCAUUUCACUUUCAGAACCGCACUCUGAGUUCAGGUUUCCAGCCGAUCCUCUGCGGGACUUCCUUGUUGUUUGUUGUGCGAGUUUGCAGACAUUAAAAGAGCUCCGUCAGCCUCUCUGCUCUUUGCGUACUGUUGGAAAAGGGAACCCCUCUCAGGAGGUGGCGUGGCUUCUACGCGCUUCACACACGCGCGCCGGCGCACUCCUUCACACCAAACUGUACACACUUACUAUCUUCCGCAUUGACUCCUCAGCUUCCUGACUGAAAACUCAACCAGCUGACAGGUUACAUUUUUAAGUUAUAUACUUUCAUCUUACUCGUAGUCCAAGACACAAACCUGAGCCCAACCUGCACCGUUUUAAAGUAAAUAAAUCAUAAUCAAUCAACUGUGGAGAUAUUACACAAAAUAGUUUAAUUAGAAUUAAAACAUAAUAAACCAGCAGUAAUAAAGAACCUUAACGUUUCAGUUAUGCGAGUUGAUUUUUUUAAAUCUCCAUUACAGUAUGGGGAACAUUCAAAUAAAGAUAGUUAUU